GCCAGGCAUGGUGGUGCGUGCCUGUAAUCUCAGCUACUCGGGGGCCAAUGUAGGGGGAUCACUUGAGCCCAGGAGGUUGAGGCUGCAGUGAGCUGUGGUUGCACCACUGCACUCCAGCCUGGGCAACACAGCAAGACCCUGUCUUAC
rnacentral:SRP_RNA from 1 species